rnacentral:rRNA from 1 species
GACGAACGCUGGCGGCGUGCUUAACACAUGCAAGUCGAACGGAAAGGCCUCUUUCGGGGGGUACUCGAGUGGCGAACGGGUGAGUAACACGUGAGUAACCUGCCCUUGACUUUGGGAUAACUUCAGGAAACUGGGGCUAAUACCGGAUAGGAGCUCCUGCUGCAUGGUGGGGGUUGGAAAGUUUCGGCGGUUGGGGAUGGACUCGCGGCUUAUCAGCUUGUUGGUGGGGUAGUGGCUUACCAAGGCUUUGACGGGUAGCCGGCCUGAGAGGGUGACCGGCCACAUUGGGACUUGGAUACGGCCCAGACUCCUACGGGAGGCAGCAGUGGGGAAUAUUGCACAAUGGGUGGAAGCCUGAUGCAGCAACGCCGUGUGCGGGAUGACGGCCUUCGGGUUGUAAACCGCUUUCGCUCAUGACGAAGCUUUGUGUGACGGUAGUGGGUAAAGAAGCACCGGCUAACUACGUG